CACGUAGGGGGCAAGCGUUGUCCGGAUUUAUUGGGCGUAAAGAGCUCGUAGGUGGCUGAGUAAGUCGGAUGUUAAAUCCCCAGGCUCAACCUGGGACACCACCCGAUACUGCUCUGGCUAGAGUCCGGUAGGGGAGCGUGGAAUUCCUGGUGUAGCGGUGAAAUGCGCAGAUAUCAGGAAGAACACCAAUGGCGAAAGCAGCUCUCUGGGACGGUACUGACGCUGAGACGCGAAAGCGUGGGGAGCGAACAGG
rnacentral:rRNA from 1 species